UACGUAUGGUGCAAGCGUUAUCCGGAUUUACUGGGUGUAAAGGGAGCGCAGGCGGCACGGCAAGCCUGAUGUGAAAGCCCGCGGCCCAACCGCGGGACUGCAUUGGGAACUACCGGGCUGGAGUGCCGGAGAGGUAGGCGGAAUUCCUAGUGUAGCGGUGAAAUGCGUAGAUAUUAGGAGGAACACCAGUGGCGAAGGCGGCCUACUGGACGGUGACUGACGCUGAGGCUUGAAAGCGUGGGGAGCAAACAGG
rnacentral:rRNA from 1 species